AGAGCGAACGCUGGCGGCAUGCUUAACACAUGCAAGUCGCACGGUUCGGGGGCAACCCCGGGCAGUGGCGGACGGGUGAGGAACGCGUAGGAAUCUGUCCCGGAAUGGGGGAUAACCGUGGGAAACUACGGCUAAUACCGCAUGCGGCCCGAGGGCCAAAGGCGCUGAUCGCAAGGUUGGGGUCGUUUUGGGAGGAGCCUGCGUCCGAUUAGCUUGUUGGUGGGGUAACGGCCUACCAAGGCUGCGAUCGGUAGC
rnacentral:rRNA from 1 species